GUAGGUGAACCUGCGGAAGGAUCAUUACAGAGUUCAUGCCCGAAAGGGUAGACCUCCCACCCUUGUGUAUUAUUACUUUGUUGCUUUGGCGAGCUGCUCUUCGGGGCCUUGUAUGCUCGCCAGAGAAUAUCAAAACUCUUUUUAUUAAUGUCGUCUGAGUACUAUAUAAUAGUUAAAACUUUCAACAACGGAUCUCUUGGUUCUGGCAUCGAUGAAGAACGCAGCGAAAUGCGAUAAGUAAUGUGAAUUGCAGAAUUCAGUGAAUCAUCGAAUCUUUGAACGCACAUUGCGCCCCUUGGUAUUCCGGGGGGCAUGCCUGUUCGAGCGUCAUUUCAACCCUCAAGCUCAGCUUGGUAUUGAGUCCAUGUCAGUAAUGGCAGGCUCUAAAAUCAGUGGCGGCGCCGCUGGGUCCUGAACGUAGUAAUAUCUCUCGUUACAGGUUCUCGGUGUGCUUCUGCCAAAACCCAAAUUUUCUAUGGUUGACCUCGGAUCAGGUAGGGAUACCCGCUGAACUUAAGCAUAUCAAUAAGCGGAGGAAAUCUCUGU
rnacentral:rRNA from 1 species